AAGUCGUAACAAGGUUUCCGUAGGUGAACCUGCGGAAGGAUCAUUAACACGUAUCCAACGUUAAACCCCCCUGUGAACCUUCAACAGUACUCUUGCAUCGCUGGCCACGACGCCGGCCGGUGAUCGGCCUACAGCAUCCGUAAAGCGUUAUCCUUGCACAAUCAGUGACACUGACAGAACACCGAUUGCUUGGGGAAGCUAGGCCACUUUAACUUGCGCUCGACAUCACAUCUUUUUGGGCAGAGGUCCUGAAUCAAUAACUUUCCGGGACUGAUUUACCAGGAUUGCUGUUCCAUAGGGCCUAACCGGCCCCUUACAAAACAACCAGUAGUUAGCGAUUACUCCACGACAUAGUCAAGUGGCGCCGUCCUGGAGUUUAACGAACAACUGUUAACAAUGGAUAUCUUGGUUCUC
rnacentral:misc_RNA from 1 species